rnacentral:rRNA from 1 species
AACGAACGCUGGCGGCAUGCCUAAUACAUGCAAGUCGAACGAGAUCUUCGGAUCUAGUGGCGCACGGGUGCGUAACGCGUGGGAAUCUGCCCUUGUGUUCGGAAUAACUUCGGGAAACUGAAGCUAAUACCGGAUGAUGACGUAAGUCCAAAGAUUUGUCGCCCAAGGAUGAGCCCGCGUAGGAUUAGCUAGUUGGUAAGGUAAAGGCUUACCAAGGCGACGAUCCUUAGCUGGUCUGAGAGGAUGAUCAGCCACACUGGGACUGAGACACGGCCCAGACUCCUACGGGAGGCAGCGGUAGGGAAUAUUGGACAAUGGGGGCAACCCUGAUCCAGCAAUGCCGCGUGAGUGAUGAAGGUCUUAGGGUUGUAAAGCUCUUUUACCCGGGAUGAUAAUGACAGUACCGGGAGAAUAAGCCCCGGCUAACUCCGUGCCAGCAGCCGCGGUAA